CUGUAAGGAACGGGCGGGGUGGGGGUCGGCAGUGUUGAUCGCGGACUAUGAAGAUAACAAAUGAUAAAAGGUAUAAUUGGUAUUUGUCUUACAGGCACUGUCAUUAGAAGUAGAAAUAGCAGCAAAAGCUCUGAUCGAUGUAUUAGCCAGGGGCCUUACUCCAUCUUCGUAAAGAAAUGCACUAGCAAGUGGUAGUAGACCAAUGAGAGAAAGCAUCUCAAGUGGGACCAUUCCUUUGCCUGCAGAGCCUGAAAACAUGGUAAGGCAAGCCUUAAAAAGGUAAUUUUUCAUGUUUACUGUAAAACACAACUUUUUGUGUCAUGCAAAAAAUGUUUCUUAUUAUUAAUAUGUUUAUUCAUUUUGCCCUUUUGUCACUAUGGGCAAUUCCCAAGUAUGUUUGGGACAGAGAUUUUUCUGUGGCCAAACCUGGAAACAUUAAAAAAACUGAUUUUCAAAUACAUGUCCUCUCUAAACCAUCACCCUUCACACCAAAAGGAGAUGAAGACCUUGAGCUUGUCCAUGCUGGACUUGGAAAAAGGCUUUUAACUGUUCCAGAUAAUUUUAAACACAGUGAGAUUGUCAGUCUGCUUGAAGGAGAGUUUCCCAAAUUAAAAACACUUCAGGGUGGCUGGAUGUUUUACAAGUCUACAGGUAUUUAUGUUUUGCAUGUUACAUAUAAACAAAAAAUGAUUUGUGUGCAUUUGCAAUAACUUUGCACUUUUGUAAAUUAAUGAAACUGGUAUGUGCUUUGUUGGCGUUAAUAAUUUAGUAAUAAGCUUCAUUAGUUUAAACUUUUUAGUCAAGGACAUGUUUCUUUGCCAUGUUCUAAGAUUAUGGCAUGCCCUACUUCAGUUUUCCAGUGGUAAACAGAGCUUUAUAGAACAUUUCUGUCCAAAAUUUUAGGUGACACAUUUAUAACAAUAUUGCUAGCCCAAGAAGGCAACAGUAGUCCUGAAUGUGAUUCUCAAUUGAUUUUGCCAUUAGGUGGGGGUGGGCGGCGUAAGCUGUCUAUAAUUCCCACAGAUGCUGAUGGAUACUCAACUCGACUCCUAAAAUCAGUGUCAAAUAAUGGAAAGAACAUGCUGUUUGUAGUUCCAUUACAGGAACAGCUUUCCACUGAACCAUUACCUUAUGAUUCUGUGGAGUUUGCUAAGAUGCCACAGUCCAGCUGUAUGAAAUGUGGUAAGAAAAUACCACUGCCAUUGCUGCCCUUACACAUUGAAGAGUGUAAAGAAGCUGAGACAGUAAGUCAUACAGUAUUAUGGUUUUAUUGUUCUAUCAAUAUUAUUUAUUUACAAUGCCAAUGCAUUUUGAUUACUUUUAUUAGGAGUCUUCAAAUGAUUUGACCAUUCUAGAUGAUGAUGUAGACGAAAAUGUAAUCGAAACUGUUGACCAGCCAAGCCCACUUCACCCCAUCUUAGAACCAUCAUUACAGAUUUGUCCAAUUUGCCAGAUCUCUUUCCCAACUGAUGUCUUGCCUUUUCAUGCAAGCAUGUGUGGUGAAGGGUAAAGUUAUGCUAAAAAUUGUAGGAUGACAUGCCUUUAAUACUAAAGGAUUAGUUUGCACAGUUUGUUUUGGUUGUAUAUAUCUCGAGGGAGAUGUACAAAGAUCAGAUGGAAUGUAGGGUAAAAAAUUAACAAAAUAAUUUUCUGGUGGACUGUCUUAAAUUUAAAUUAAUGUGUUGGUUUCAUAAACUGGGUCAGUAGUAGACAUUAUUAGAUUUGAUGUAUGUAGCUUUUAUAAGCCUUGCUUUGAGAAAAUCAUUACUGGUGACUUUUGACAUUAAUGGCUAUAUACAGUAUGUCAUUGUAAGUUACAUCCAGACUUUGUCUGGCACUAGGGUCUAAGCCUUGUCUAUGAAACUGGGCAAAUGCUUUUAAUAUGCAUGAACAUUUUUGAAGUGGCUUAAUGAACAAAAUUGAAAUUGUUUGUGUCUUGCCUGUUUUAGAGAAAGGACUUUUGGUGACAAUGAUUCUUCAUUCACUUUAAAUACAGAAGAAUUGCCAGGACCCUCAACUGCACAAUCUUCAACAUCAUUGUCUGCAGGUUAGACACAACACAUUUU